AUGGGAAAUGAUAAAAUGUGUGUUAUUCACCUCAGCCACCAGAACAGCUCCAGAAAUGUUAUUCUGUUCUCUCAGGAUGGAUCUGUUAUAGCAAUUAUAACAUGCAUUCCAGGAACUCUAUGCAUUUAGCAAACAUUCACUAAUUCUAUCUAUCCAUCUCUCUCUCCCUCCCACAGGAACUGGUUUCUUGCAGGCAGACCCUCACAUCUGCACAAAGUCCCACUGAAGUCAGUGGAGCUUGGUCCAGCCACACGAUUGCAGGAGUGGGGCGAUACAUAUCUGACGGCAUAAAUAAGCAUUAUAACUCCCUGGUGAGAGCCACUGAUGAAGGCAAACACCUCCGCCUCUGCACAGAGAUGUGAUGCCGUUUCUCAUUAAGCAGUAAGGGAGCAAUGUGUAAGGGGAAGAAGAUUUGAGAAUCAGGUCACUGAAGGUGUAAGCAGAAGAGACCCUGUUGGAUCAUCAUCAACUACCUUUCCCUGCCAAUGCAAGAGACAGUCCCCUGAUCGAGGAUGCAGCAGGCACUACACUUGUGCCACAUCUGGAUAGCCAUAGGUACCAAGAAUCUCAUCUACUUACACAUAUUCGUGAUUUUAUCCCACUCUUGGAUUUCUGGAACCUCGUUCUCCACACUGAUCUAUAAGAAUUUUGAAAAACCCCGGUGCUGUGAACGUAUAAAGUAUGUUUAUUGCCACUACAAGAAUUCUAAAGGAAUUAAGAUGGAAAAUUCUCUGAAUACCUCUUCAGAACAGCGUGUUUCAAAUGGAACCAGUAACAGGAACCGGUUUUUGAGCAACCCUCAUUAGCACAUUGGACAGUUUUCCCCCAGAAUUCCAAGGUGCGUGCAGCUCUAUUCCUUAUUGGACAACCACAACCCUUGUAGGGGUUGGAAGGGGCUGUUCUACCACAGCAGCCCUUCAGAGGAAUUCUGGAUGACACGCAGAAUUUCUCCAGUAGGUCUAGAGCAGCCUGUGGUGGAGUGGCAGCUCCACCAUCCUUCACAGUGGUGCAGUUCUGUAGGCUGGUGUGAAAUGGGGGGCCAUGGCCCUGCCUUUACUCGAUCCCCUUUGAAAAGGCUAGCACUGCUGGCUGCAGUAGCCUGGAUCACUUAAUCUACUCCCUCUCCUGGUUGUAGAUGGCCCUUGUGUUGGGCACAAAUGGGUAAGGAAGAUUCCUCACGCUCUUCCUCCAUCUUACAUAGCUACACAGAGUCAGCUGGAAUGAGGCCUAAAAUGUGUGUAAUACUCCUAUCCCCUCCAGCCAUUACUAGGAAGAUGUGAGUCUAUUUAUACUGAAAAGCUUACGGACAAAAGUAUCUACUACUAAACCUUCCAUUGAAAUUCUCUCCAGGGGAGCUUGUCAAAGCUAUACAGGUUCUAUAAUGUUUGGGCAGCUGUCUGCUUUCAAUUGUAUUUUUUUCCAUUUUUCCUCCAUGUGAUAUAUAAUAUAGCUUCAGGAGCAAUUCUGGUUAUAAAAUUAUGGAAAUGUGGCCUAGCUGGCUUUUAUUUGAAAAGUUAUUUCAUUGCAUCUCACUAAAGAAUU
rnacentral:lncRNA from 1 species